rnacentral:rRNA from 1 species
GAUGAACGCUGGCGGCGUGCUUAACACAUGCAAGUCGAACGAAGCACUUAAUGAGAUUUCUUCGGAUUGAUUAUUUUGUGACUGAGUGGCGGACGGGUGAGUAACGCGUGGGUAACCUGCCCCAGACCGGGGGAUAACAGUCGGAAACGACUGCUAAUACCGCAUAAGCCCACGGCUCGGCAUCGAGCAGAGGGAAAAGGAGCAAUCCGCUUUGAGAUGGCCUCGCGUCCGAUUAGCUAGUUGGUGAGGUAACGGCCCACCAAGGCGACGAUCGGUAGCCGGACUGAGAGGGUGAACGGCCACAUUGGGACUGAGACACGGUCCAAACUCCUACGGGAGGCAGCAGUGAGGAAUAUUGGUCAAUGGGCGAGAGCCUGAACCAGCCAAGUAGCGUGAAGGAUGACUGCCCUAUGGGUUGUAAACUUCUUUUAUAAAGGAAUAAAGUCGGGUAUGGAUACCCGUUUGCAUGUACUUAUGAAUAAGGAUCGGCUAACUCCGUGCCAG